UGGGGAAUAUUGGACAAUGGGCGAAAGCCUGAUCCAGCAAUGCCGCGUGAGUGAUGAAGGCCUUAGGGUUGUAAAGCUCUUUUACCCGGGAUGAUAAUGACAGUACCGGGAGAAUAAGCCCCGGCUAACUCCGUGCCAGCAGCCGCGGUAAUACGGAGGGGGCUAGCGUUGUUCGGAAUUACUGGGCGUAAAGCGCACGUAGGCGGCUUUGCAAGUCAGAGGUGAAAGCCCGGGGCUCAACCCCGGAAUUGCCUUUGAGACUGCAUCGCUAGAACGUCGGAGAGGUGAGUGGAAUUCCGAGUGUAGAGGUGAAAUUCGUAGAUAUUCGGAAGAACACCAGUGGCGAAGGCGACUCACUGGACGACUGUUGACGCUGAGGUGCGAAAGCGUGGGGAGCAAACA
rnacentral:rRNA from 1 species